CCUACGGGGGGCUGCAGUGGGGAAUAUUGCACAAUGGGCGCAAGCCUGAUGCAGCCAUGCCGCGUGUGUGAAGAAGGCCUUCGGGUUGUAAAGCGCUUUCAGCGGGGAGGAAGGCGUUAAGGUUAAUAACCUUGGCGAUUGACGUUACCCGCAGAAGAAGCACCGGCUAACUCCGUGCCAGCAGCCGCGGUAAUACGGAGGGUGCAAGCGUUAAUCGGAAUUACUGGGCGUAAAGCGCACGCAGGCGGUCUGUCAAGUCGGAUGUGAAAUCCCCGGGCUCAACCUGGGAACUGCAUUCGAAACUGGCAGGCUGGAGUCUUGUAGAAGGGGGUAGAAUUCCAGGGGUAGCGGUGAAAUGCGUAGAGAUCUGGAGGAAUACCGGUGGCGAAGGCGGCCCCCUGGACAAAGACUGACGCUCAGGUGCGAAAGCGUGGGGAGCAAACAGGAUUAAUACCCUGGUAGUC
rnacentral:rRNA from 1 species